GACAGAGGGGUGGGACACAGGUGGGCCAAAGAAGUAAUCUGGUCAGGAAGGACUUCUGAGUCAGCACCUUUUUGCUGGGGGCUGUUCAUUAACAUUUCUUUGAGGUGGACUUUGGCCUAGGGCCUUUUCGGGACUUCCAUGAGUUGUCCUGUUUUCCCUGAGUCAUUCUCCGCAUGGUCUCCAUUUUAGAUUUCACUCUAUAUUAGACCCGAUUUAUCUAACUACACUGACUACCUAACUUUAAAUCUGGCUUCAGUGAUUGGACUCUCUCUGCUUCCAGAUCACCACAUAAGCCACUUCUCUCUGCCACACUCUUCCGCCAUGUCAUUCCUGUCUCAACUAGAGCCCUAAGGAAUGAGCCAGCUGUCUGUGGAUUGAGACCUCUGAAACCCUGAGCCUUCAAAUUAACUAUUCCUCCUCUACAGUUGCACUAGUCAGCUCAUUUAGUCACAGCAGUGAAAAAAGCUGACUAUAACACUCCUUUUGUGCAAGGCUACCUCAGGUGAUUUCUGAUUUUUGAGUGUGUGUGUGUGUGUGCGCGCGCGCCACAGUCUGGCUGGGCACAAAAUCACGAGCCACUCAAGCAGGAACAAACUUUAUUUUCAAAACUCCCGCCAAUGCCAUGCACGCAGCCUUCUCCCGGGGCACACUACACCAACAGGAAAUCCCUCCUCUGGAAUUCCCUCCUACCACACUUCCUCAACCAAUGGGAACUCUCCGGGAGUCGUGAGAGCUCCAAAGUAGCAGGCCUAGGCAGACAGCAGGGGUCUAAUCUCCAAUUGAAUGCACAUCUUAACAUAAUCAUUAUCAUCUCAAGGGCUUGCUGGUGUCACCUUUCCACCAAAAAUGCCCUGUGUCAUUCCUACUUGGCUAUGGCUCUCAGCGUGUGUGUGUGUGUGUGUGUGUGUGUGUGUGUGUGUGUGUGUGUACACCCUGUUAGCCUAACUUGACUAGCAUCUCUCAGUACAAGGAUCCUGCUCAGUUCACCUUUGUACUGUAAGAGUCUGCCUCUUCCAGAGAUGUUGUCUGAUGAUGGCAGUCAUCAGAAUUCUAACCACACCACGUUAGACUUGCCACAUGAAUAAGACAGACUGUGACUGGAGUUUAUUGUGUGCUAUUUGGAGUAGGAAAGGUAAGUAUGUCAGUUACUCUUAUUUGAGGUAUGAUUAGACGCUGUCCACUGAAAGCAUUAUCUGUGAGGUACUAUCCUCAGAAGAGGCCAAGAUCUAUCUGAUAGGGAGAUCAGGGAGCCUUCAGAGGGAACCUGGCUCUGAGCUGUGCACUGAAGAAUGGGCAGUAUUUUGAAGGUGGUGCUACAGCAGUUCAUUCCUCAGAAGUCAACUUUGGCCUGGGAGGACAGAAGAUCAGAAGUAUGAAAGAAGGGUAAUCAAGUGAAUGGAGUGAGAGCAAAAGUGUUUUUCCACAUCUUAUCUAUUUUGGUCCUUGAAUCAUAAUGUUGAGAUAAGUGCCAUUACAUCCAUUUGACAGAUGAGGAAACUGAAAGCUCAGUGGUCAAGGGACUUGGCUGAGCUCUCACAGUUGGCUGGCAGGGGGAACUGGGAUUUAAACUCAGUAUUGGCCAACCCAGUCUGUAGAGCUGCCAAAAAAGUUGGUAAGAGAGUAUGUACACUCUAAUUCUGCUAGCCUGAGGUGUGGGGCUUGUCCUAGGCCCUGAGUAUGUCCUGGUCCAAACCACUUUGCUACACAUCUUGUUUUCUAUUCCCUUGCUUUCUACCUCAGUGAUCAGUUCAACUUCUAUCACCAGUACAAAGAGAUUGAGGAGUUUGAAUUGUGUUGCUUGUCCAUGAGCUGGUCCACAUCUCCCUCAGAUUCAAGGAAGGACUGGUGCACUUGAAUCAAAAGAGUAUAUAUUUCAAAAAAUAAAAUUUAUGAUGACACCCAAUAGAGUCAACUUAUUUAGUUAAUUAUGAAUAGUGCUGUGUUGAUUGAGAGGAGAAUCCAAAUCUGGAAGGAGAUUGAAGGUGUGCUGCAUUGCACAACUGUCCCAAGGAACCAUCCUUAAUCCCUAGUACUACAUCCUUUUAUCUCUAGUACCACAGUUGGGAACUGCUGAGUCCAGCAUAUUUUAUCCAUCCACUUUAGAGACGAUGCUGAUAGAUUCUCCAGAAUGACUGGGGAGCCAAAGUUUUUAUCAACCAGUCUGUCACUUCUGUGGAAUAGAAUUGUCUCCCUUUACUGCUCCCUUUAUAGCAAAGUUGCUUUUCAGAGUACUUUCUACUUGCAGUAUUAUUCUUGAUUGUAUCAAAUUAGUUCCACAAUAGUACUGCCAAUUUUCUUCCAUAAAUAGUCCAUUGCCAUGUGACUUUAAAAUCCAUACACCUCUUUAUUUUGCUGCUAAUUCCUCCCCUAUUCAUUUUCCUACUAGGAUAAAGCACGGCUGGGGCAGGAUUGGUAGGGAAACUGUAUGGUGUGCAAGUAUCAUCUGUAGUCAGCAGAUCAACCCUUGCUAUCAUCCCUCUCAUUUAGAAAUUUUGAUGUUUACUCUUGUCCCUUUAUCCCCCUUUACUGGUCCCUUUGUAGCAAAGUUACAUUUCAGCGUACUUUCUACUUGUAGUAUUAAUUUUAGUCAUAUCAAAUUAAUUCCAUAAUAGUACUGCCAAUUUCCCCCUGAAAAUAUCAAUAAGACCACAGCUUUGAACUGCUUGUAAUAAAGGAAAGAAAGUCAGCAAGAGUGAAUGUUUUCUGAGCACUCCACCUGUAUACAGGUAGCUGUAUGAGAUUCUGCACUGUUGUCUGCUCUGUGGUAAAUCAAAGCUAACAUUCCUUCAGGGACUUGCAGUGGAGGCUGUCUGUCUUAGAUAUUUCUUUGAUUCCUGGAUUGCUCAAUUCAAUUUCUGUCUUCCCAGAAAAGCUUCACUCUAGCUUGGUCCAAGAAGCCCACCUCCUCUGAAACUAUUUCCUCCUGCUAUUUACCCAGUGUCCAAAGAACCUCAUGUUAGAUUUCCCACCUCAGCCAUGAAGUAAAGACAGCUUUGUAGUUUUGACCUUCAUAUUGUUUCUCUGGAGCAGAUGCAGAUGCACAGUCAACUGAAUAUAGUCUCUGUCUGUCUGUGUAUGUAUGUAUGUGUCUGUCGUGCGUGUUGCUAGGGAUUGAACUCAGGAUCUCAUGAAGGCUAGGGAAGCACAUUACCAUUGAACUAAAUCCCCUUUCCUACAAAGGAUGUUUCACUCAAACAGUUCAGGACACUUCCACUCUCCUGUCUCCAUCACUCUUGCUUUCAUGCUGUAUAGCAAUGCAAUGACAUUUGGGGACUCCAACUAAGGGAACAUUAAGUUGGAGUACAUUCAGUUUGGAUUUGGAAAGAUAUAUUUCAGGGACUCCCAACUAAUUCUGAACAUUUUCAAGUUAUAGCUAGUUGCCCCAGAUUGGAAUAGUUCCUAGGAAUACUUGCUUUGCCAACCAUAUCCAGUGUCAGGACAAGAGGUGCAGAGCUGGAGUACAUAUUGUGAUGUCACUGUGUCUGACAUAACUUUGUACCAAAGGUAUGUUGGCAGUGGAAGAAUCAAAGUUCACAAGAUAUAGGGCCAGAAGCUAGUCUGUGGAAAAAUCUAGGCAUCAAUCAGUUGUGUGAUGUUGGAAAUGGAGAAUUCAGUUUUCAUUGCCAAACAAAAUAUAUCCUCUCAGGAAUAUAGUGUGCUGUAUAUGCAACUAUAAAUACCCUGUACAUUUACUUUAAUAUUUGGCUGGGGGUUGUGUGAAAUGGCAUUUUUCAGAAUUCCUGCAGUUGUAGCUAGAAACAUUGAAUAGUAUACAGAAAAUAGUCAAUCUAACAGGCCUGAGGCUAUUGACCUUAGAAAAACCUGCUUAUAAUCUUGGCUCUCUGCUGUUUUCUGGGAACUUGGCUCUCAGAAUGUCCCCAGUCAACUAAGACUGAAUUUGCUUGCUUAGAUGUUUGCACAAACAACAUAGUUUAUGCUGAACCACCACUUUCCUUCUGAAAGUGGAAUUUUGUCACAUGUUAAGCUGAGGGUGCCUGUGUGACUAGCCCCCAAUAUAAAUUGUAAGCACUAAGUUUGGACUGCUCUGUGCAGAAAAAUCGCAUACAUUACUGCAUUUUUGUUGCCAAGAAAAAAGUAUUAUCUGGGUGGUCUCUCAGGGGAAGGAGGUAGCAUAAGGAGGUAUACAUGUUAUUCCUCCAGACUCGACCUGUGCCUUUUCCCCUUAUAAUCCUGCUGUGUGCCCUGACUACUUUGCUGUAAUAAAUAAAUAAAUGUAAUAAGUGCUGAGUCCUCUGAGUUUCCAAC
rnacentral:lncRNA from 1 species